GCCCCAGACUCCUACGGGAGGCAGCAGUGGGGAAUAUUGCACAAUGGGGGAAACCCUGAUGCAGCGACGCCGCGUGAGCGAAGAAGUAUUUCGGUAUGUAAAGCUCUAUCAGCAGGGAAGAAAAUGACGGUACCUGACUAAGAAGCCCCGGCUAAAUACGUGCCAGCAGCCGCGGUAAUACGUAUGGGGCAAGCGUUAUCCGGAUUUACUGGGUGUAAAGGGAGUGCAGGCGGCUUGGCAAGUCUGAUGUGAAAGGCCGGGGCCCAACCCCGGGACUGCUCUGGAAACUAUUUAACUUGAGUGCAGGAGAGGUAAGCGGAAUUCCUAGUGUAGCGGUGAAAUGCGUAGAUAUUAGGAGGAACACCAGUGGCGAAGGCGGCUUACUGGACUGUAACUGACGUUGAGGCUCGAAAGCGUGGGGAGCAAACAGGAUUAGAUACCCUAGUA
rnacentral:rRNA from 1 species